UCCUCCUCUCCCUCUUCGCCGUGUGAGUCACACUAGCUGUUCUCCCACACACAUUUCCACUGGCAGUGGCAGCUCUGUCUUUUCGAUUCAUAAAAUUCCAAAGUUACUAUUCAGAAUCAUCACAAGUCUAGCCACCCACCAAAAUGACCCGUGAGGUCACAAUAACAAUUUUCAAGACACGCUGAGUGAAGGCAGGGACCCUUUCUCACAACCUACUUCCAAGGGCAGCAGCAGAAACACUGGCAGAAAUCAAGUCCCCUGAGGAACUGGACAAGUCACCAAGUUUGGAAAGGUCUCCAGCCCCAGGAGCAAGAAUUGUGAGAAACCACAGGAGACGCCCGGACACCACCCCUACCCGGAGCAUGACUACUUUUGGCUGGCUUCUGAAGCACUGAAAACUUCCUUCCCAUUAUGGUUUCACUCUCUCACUUUCUUUGUAACUGUCCAGAGGCCUUUAGGUAAUGUGACCCUGAACACGACUUUUUUCCCUCCCUCCGUAGUAGGGAUAACAAAGGCCUCGUUGUUGAAGGAAAAAUGAAUUAAGGUAAAAAUGAAGUGAGUUUCCUGGGGGAGGCGAGAGGUACAACAAGAAUCCUGGCCACCUGCUCAGCUGUUUCACCUCCACUGUAACUGAUUCGUUCCCUAAGAUCAGAUCCGGAAUCCAUAAACAGACCAACAUAAGAGGCUCAGGAAUCUCCUUCCGGUGUAAACAUCAGAGGACAUUCAAACCGUCACCCCACUAUCGUCCUGCACUCACACAGCUGGGAAUCACCUGUCCUUAAUUAAACUCCACUGCCAGCAUGCCACUCCCUUGCACAUAAACAUAUCCGCUACAGCUUCAAGUUCAAAUUCUGUUCGGUUUUCAAGGCUGUCCACACUCGGCCCCCUCCCUUAGCUGUCAACAGUCCUGCUGGUCCCCUCAGCAUCCCAGCAUCCUGUGAACAUGCCACCCUCAUUCUCCAAGGCCCUGCUGGGAAUGCCAUCCUCUAGCUGCACACUCCCCUCCCCAAGUCCUCUAAAGUUUAUCCCAAUACAUUUACGUCUUCAGGUUACCUCCCCUAUGGUGGCCUGCCUUCCCCCAAUGGCCACGGUAAUUAUGAUCGAAAGCGCACAACUGAGCACUUAAACAUCAACUGCCUAGUAGU